UUGCAAUUCGAGCUGUCACACAGGGGAGCUUGCUCCCUGGGUGACGAGCGGCGGACGGGUGAGUAAUGUCUGGGAAACUGCCUGAUGGAGGGGGAUAACUACUGGAAACGGUAGCUAAUACCGCAUAACGUCGCAAGACCAAAGAGGGGGACCUUCGGGCCUCUUGCCAUCAGAUGUGCCCAGAUGGGAUUAGCUAGUAGGUGGGGUAAUGGCUCACCUAGGCGACGAUCCCUAGCUGGUCUGAGAGGAUGACCAGCCACACUGGAACUGAGACACGGUCCAGACUCNUACGGGAGGCAGCAGUGGGGAAUAUUGCACAAUGGGCGCAAGCCUGAUGCAGCCAUGCCGCGUGUGUGAAGAAGGCCUUCGGGUUGUAAAGCACUUUCAGCGAGGAGGAAGGUGGUGAGCUUAAUACGCUCAUCAAUUGACGUUACUCGCAGAAGAAGCACCGGCUAACUCCGUGCCAGCAGCCGCGGUAAUACGGAGGGUGCAAGCGUUAAUCGGAAUUACUGGGCGUAAAGCGCACGCAGGCGGUUUGUUAAGUCAGAUGUGAAAUCCCCGGGCUCAACCUGGGAACUGCAUUUGAAACUGGCAAGCUAGAGUCUCGUAGAGGGGGGUUAGAAUUCCAGGUGUAGCGGUGAAAUGCGUAGAGAUCUGGAGGGAUACCGGUGGCGAAGGCGGCCCCCUGGACGAAGACUGACGCUCAGGUGCGAAAGCGUGGGGAGCAAACAGGNUUAGAUACCCNGGNAGUCCACGCUGUAAACGAUGUCGAUUUGGAGGUGU
rnacentral:rRNA from 1 species